GUUGGAGGUGGGUCACGGAGGGGCACCACCUGAAGGGUGUAUUCUUCUCCCUUCUCUCUCUGCUUCUUGUCUGUCAUGGGAUGAUAAACUUUCUUCUACCAUGCCCUUCCACAGUGCCAUUUCUGCCUUGGAGCUAGCCAACCAUGGACUGAAUUUGCUGAACUGUGAGUCAAAUUAAACAUUUUCUCCUUAUAAGUGCCAGGUAUUGGGUCCAGCAUCGGGAAAACUGACCAAUACAAAUGCCAUCUUCCUGAAGAAGUCUCUCCUGGUGCCUUCUGACUCCUCCCAUCUGCAGUGGCUGCCUGCUAUGACUGGCACUCGGUUGCCAGGCUAGAUUCUUCCUUCACCAUUGCCCUGUGGAUUCUUUUCACCUCUUUUCUCUGUGUUGGACUUUAUAUUUUUCCUGCCUCAUGUGUCUUCCUCUUUUUAUUUUCCUUCCUGUUUCAUAAGAACAAAACUUUCUUUCAUGAGAACUGGCAUACAGUAGCUAAAUUUUCUGAAGUCUCUCAUGAAAAUGUUUUUAUACCCUGAUACUUGGCUAGUAGUUUGGUCAAUAAUCAAGUUCUUGGUUGGAAACAAUCCUUCAGUGUUUGGAAGACACUACUCCAUUUUCAACUUCCUGUGUUAAUACUGACAAGCUGGAAACCAUUCUGAUUCCUGACCUCUGGAAUGGCCAGAUUUCCCAGAGAAGACUCUUCUGUUCUCCUACCUAGACAAGAGACUAGAUGCCAAUUCAGGAAGAUAGCAGGGCCGUAUGCAUCAAAUAUGUGUUCAUUUAUUUCCUCCCUCUAACUUGCUAUUAAAAUUGUCAAACACAGAAAAUCAGAAAGAAUAGUCCAGUGGCUACCUGUAUACCCUUCAUCUAGAUUAACAAUAAUUUAAUUUGCCAUAUUUGUCCUUUUCCUUUUUCCCUCUGAAACUUUGAAAGUAAGAUGAUACCACAUAUUUCAGCAUACAUCUCAUCAAAUUAAGGACAUUUCCUACAUAACCAUAUGUCAUAUCUAAGAAAAAUAACAAUAAUUUUAUCAUUUAAUAUUCUUAUUUAAAUUUCCCCAAUUGUCAUAAAAAUGUUGCUGUAUUUUGGAUGGUACGCCUGCCUUAAACUAUAUACUUAGUGUCCCUUAGUUCAAGCUUUACCUUUAUUCUUCCUUGACAAAAAAAUCCAUAAACUUUUGCUAGGGUGGAGAAAGGCAAUCACUCAAUCAUGUAGACUGGGGGAGGAUAUCUAUUCCUUAAUCUGCAAUCCUCUCCUACUAGCACCAUACGUACAUUUAAACUUACUGCCGGCUGUAUUUGCUGCUGCUAGCUGCUGAAUGAGCUUUUUGGGGGAUUCUGUGACACGUAUAGGGUCAUAUUUGCCCUUUCCUCUUGCUAAAUUAGGG
ensembl:lncRNA